rnacentral:lncRNA from 1 species
CUGCAGCAUAAAAAGAGAAGCCUUUAGGAACCAUUAAUAUGCAUGCUGCCCAGAAGAAAAGCAGGUUCAUAAAUUUAUAGGUACUGUUGUCUGAGAAAAAAAACUAGAGGAAAGCAACCAGACCAGUAAUAAUUUACCAGCCCAGUAUCAACCUCAUGAUGGCAGUUUGCUUCCACUCUUUCAGGAUAUUUUUCCAACCUCUGAGACAAACACAAGUUACAUUAUUUAAACCUGCUUCCCUUAAAUUAUAAGAAUCAUGGCUCCCUUUUGGUUUUUAAGCUUGCUCAACCUAAGUGAGAUAAAGCUCCUCUUGUGUGGGCGGUCACUAUUCACUGUAAGGGAACUUAACCUGCACACUUACUAUUGCAGAGGACAGAGUUUUAAUGGAGACAAGAGGCAGAGAAGAAAAACUUACUGUAAAGGUGAAGUAUGAGAAAGUACUUAGAUACCAUCUAUUAACAGUUUACAUGAAUAUGCAUAUACACACAAAUAUGACUUGUCAAACAUUUAAAAAAGGAAACUUUCAUUAUUUUAAUUUAUGCCAUAAUAAUAUUCCCUGUUUUUUUGUUUUAGAAUCUAAAAAAUAAGUUUUAGAGUUGUAUUCUCAGCACAGGCAGUUUCUUCUAGAAGAAUAAAGUCAGUUUAAACGGGAAACUUUCAUUCUCCCAAUCAUCAGGAGUGAUUAUGUUUCUAGGCAACUGCUGGGGUUACUCUUAGCUAUGGCCCAUAAGGAAGAGCCCCAGCAGUGGCUGGAGCUAUAGUAAGUUAGUAAAGACCAUAGAUUCCAAGAAUACCACUGAUGGGAAAGCUCUUACAUUGCUUUUAUAAAUAUGUAAAUGGACCAUACUUUUUCCUUGUCUUUUUCACUCUUCCAACGUUAGCACUCCUCCUACUGUAUACAAGGCUUGGGUAUUUUAUUAAGGACCAUUUAAUGUACAUAGAGCAAAGGAAAACCUUGUUUAUGAUAUACCCAUAACAUUUACACUUGCUUGUACUUAAAGGACAUGCAUGGAAUAAAACAGCAGUAUUUGACAAAAUACAGAAAAGACCUAAGUUCUAGCUUCAACUGUAAGUAAGAAUGCUUUAUUACUUUCAGAUAUGCACAGUAGCUCAAACUCAUCAAAUUGUUAAGAUUCUAGCAAAUUACUUCAAUGACUAGAUAUGAAUCCCAUAUGAUGACAAAUUGCUUAUAAGCAAAUGGAUUUUUAAGAGCCUUAAGCAAUUAAGUAGCCUAAGCCAUAGGUAGUGUUUUUAUUGAACCUCAGCGGCUUGUACUAGAAGGUCUGGUGCACAGAGACCAACCUACUUGCCCAGAGGAGGAGCUUAUAGACUUAGGUGCUAAGUGACUUGCCCACGACCAUGCAGCCGCCAAUAGCACACAUGGUGCUUUCCUCUUCUCAUCAACAGUGCGAAGAUGGUCUUCAGCUCAAACUUCCCCAAUUUAUUCCAACUUCUAAAGCAGUAGUCUAAGGCACUAGGACAAGAAGCAGAUGAACAUGUAUAGCCAGUAUUGGGCCACCAUGCCCGUCCCACCUAGACUCAUACCUUGUCUCAUCCACUCGACCUCGUCCUCGGUGACAAAGCUGCACAAGGCUUUUGCCAUUGCCAGUCGUAUUGCUCCAGCCUGCGCUGACCUCCCGCCCCCUGAGACUGUGCAGGUCACGUCGUGCUUUCCCAGCCGGUCAACAAAGUGGAAAGGGAACAUCAGCUGUUCUCUAAAGCACAGCACAAGUAAAUGUGGUUACGUUUACUAUAAAGAUACAUAAUUAUGUAAACAACUGAAAUUCUGAAUAUUCAUAAAAACAAUAUUCUGCAUGCCACUGUUAUACUUUUCAUACUUCUCAAUCAAUCCAUUUUACCAAGAUAUAGAAACACUAACAUUUCUGACAUUUUGAAUGAUUUGCUGAGAGAUUAAGAUUUAUUUCUUUUGCUUGGGUAUAGCAACACACUCUUACUGUUUGCUGAUCCCCUUUAUCUCAGAAGAUCUUUUCAAAGCUUGAAAAUAAUCUCGUAAAGAAGUCUUACAGUUGGGGAACUCCAUUAAUCAACUGAAUUUAAUGUCUCUGGAUUGAAUGAUCAGAUAUAAAAUCAAUAGGCCUUUCCAAACAAUUAUCACAUGUCAUUUGGAUUCACUAAAUAAAGUCUACUAUAAGUGUAUCUGUAUAAUGUAUAAUGCUCAUCUUGAUAUGGUUAGUUUUUAAAGUUUCUAAAACUAUUUUCGACCUUGCACUUCCCUGACACCAAACACCUAUUCCCAAUAUUCUUAAAGUUCUCUAAAUCAUAGGGUCCUGCUACCUUCCUGGGGCCAGGUGACAUUCUACACAACCCCUGUCAGGCCUGCUCUUUCAGGGUCGGUCAGGGCCUACAAGAUCCUGGGGCAGGCACCACAGACAAAACACGGCCCUGGACUUUCUCCUGCUCAACUGAACAAGUAUUUGUUGAAUAUCAUUUUCACGCCAGGUAAGAUGUUCACCAUUACCUCUGUCAAGCACUUUGAUUUUGCUAUUUUGCCUUAAUAUCUUGCUACACUUUUAUGCAGAAAAGCUCACUUAUAUUGCGUUUGCUUUCUUUGAUGCUGUAGCUUCUAGACCCAAAAUCAAGUUUAUAUAACACAGUUAAGCUGAGAGACAGGUAUGGACAGGACAUUCAAGUGCUAUUCUUCAUACCACACUAGUAAAAUAAUCACAAGCAGAUGGGCAAAAGAUGACUUUCAAAAGCCAUAGCAAAUCGGAAUUUAUAACAAUACGAUGUAGGGAUGACAUAACUCCUACAACAACAAAAAACUCAUAAAUCUAUACUGUCUUUUUGAACAAAUGCUUCCAAGAAACCAAAUGAAAAGUAGCCAUAAGUUAUAAAAACAGUAUUAUAAGUAGUAUCUAUUAAUAUACUAUGAUAACUAAAGAAAAUUUAAGCUGAGCACCUAAAGUACAAGCUACUCAGGAGGCUGAGGUGGGAGGACUGCUUGAGCCCAGCAGCUUGAGUCCAGUCUGGGUCCAGAAGUUUGAGUCCAGCCUGGGUGACAUAAAGAGACCUUGUCUCUUAAAAAAAAAAAGUAAAUAUAAAAGAAAAUUUA